rnacentral:rRNA from 1 species
GUAGGGAAUCUUGCGCAAUGGGCGAAAGCCUGACGCAGCCAUGCCGCGUGAAUGAUGAAGGUCUUAGGAUUGUAAAAUUCUUUCACCGGGGACGAUAAUGACGGUACCCGGAGAAGAAGCCCCGGCUAACUUCGUGCCAGCAGCCGCGGUAAUACGAAGGGGGCUAGCGUUGCUCGGAAUUACUGGGCGUAAAGGGAGCGUAGGCGGAUAGUUUAGUCAGAGGUGAAAGCCCAGGGCUCAACCUUGGAAUUGCCUUUGAUACUGGCUAUGUUGAGUAUGGAAGAGGUAUGUGGAACUCCGAGUGUAGAGGUGAAAUUCGUAGAUAUUCGGAAGAACACCAGUGGCGAAGGCGACAUACUGGUCCAUUACUGACGCUGAGGCUCGAAAGCGUGGGGAGCAAACAGGAUUAGAAACCCCGGUAGUCC